rnacentral:rRNA from 1 species
GAUGAACGCUAGCUACAGGCUUAACACAUGCAAGUCGAGGGGUAACGAGAGGAAAGCUUGCUUUCCUUGUCGACGACCGGCGCACGGGUGAGUAGCGCGUAUCCAACCUGCCCCCAACUAGGGAAUAACCUUGCGAAAGUAAGACUAAUACCCUAUAAUUUCCUCAGAUGUCAUCUGACGAGGAAUAAAGAUUUAUCGGUUGUGGAUGGGGAUGCGUCUGAUUAGCUUGUUGGCGGGGUAACGGCCCACCAAGGCAACGAGCAGUAGGGGUUCUGAGAGGAAGGUCCCCCACAUUGGAACUGAGACACGGUCCAAACUCCUACGGGAGGCAGCAGUGAGGAAUAUUGGUCAAUGGGCGGAAGCCUGAACCAGCCAAGUAGCGUGCAGGAUGACGGCCCUAUGGGUUGUAAACUGCUUUUAUACAGGAAUAAAGUUAGCCACGUGUGGAUAUUUGUAGGUACUGUAUGAAUAAGGACCGGCUAAUUCCGUGCCAGCCGCCGCAGUAA